ACGCAAAUGGUGUAACGGUAACAUAGCCGCCUUCCAAGCAGCUGCCCAGGGUUCGACUCCCUGUUUGCGUA
rnacentral:tRNA from 1 species